rnacentral:rRNA from 1 species
ACUCAAAGGAAUUGACGGGGGCCCGCACAAGCGGCGGAGCAUGCGGCUUAAUUCGAUGCGACGCGAAGAACCUUACCUGGGCUUGACAUGCAGGGUGAAACCCGUGAAAGCGGGUGCUCUACGGAGCCUGCACAGGUGGUGCAUGGCUGUCGUCAGCUCGUGCCGUGAGGUGUUGCCUUAAGUGGCGCAACGAGCGCAACCCUUGUCCUCAGUUGCCAGCGGAUCAUGCCGGGAACUCUGGGGAGACUGCCGGUGCCAAACCGGAGGAAGGUGGGGAUGACGUCAAGUCAUCAUGCCCCUUAUGUCCAGGGCUGCACGCAUGCUACAAUGCGCAGUACAACGGGCUGCGAUCCCGCAAGGGGGAGCGAAUCCCGAAAAGCUGCGCUCAGUUCGGAUCGGGGUCUGCAACUCGACCCCGUGAAGUCGGAGUCGCUAGUAAUCGCGGAUCAGCAAUGCCGCGGUGAAUACGUUCCCGGGCCUUGUACACACCGCCCGU